GGGAGCUUAGCUCAGCUGGUUCAGAGCACCUGCCUUACAAGCAGGGGGUCAAUGGUUCGAGUCCGUUAGUUCCCA
rnacentral:tRNA from 1 species